rnacentral:rRNA from 1 species
AUGGCAAUGGCUGCUUCCCCGACAAGAGGGCUGCCUUGCUCUCCUUCAGCAAGAUCUUUACUGAACUACAAAGGUGACACUCUGAACCACGGUAGCUUCUUGCCUCCCAUUGAAGUCCUUAAACGGACAGUUUCAUCAGCUGAUGAUAAAGGCAAGGCCGCUACUGUGAUCGAUGAAGGCAUUCGUUCAUUGGAUGGUCAAUUUCGCAAGGCUGCAUCUUACUCUACCAAUGACGAUUCUGCCACACAUGACUCUGCCGCAAAUACCUCAGCCAAGCAAAGUCCUCAAGUCACAGCACCCAGGGUGAUGACUGACCGUGAGUUACUCCUCAGUCUUCAUCAGAAGGUUGAUCGCAAUCACAAAUGGGUAAAGCGUCAGUUUGGUGCACUUCUUCACAAUAUGACCUCAACACACAAUGCAGUGAAGAAGAACCAAUACUACCUUCAUGAAACCUUUAACCACACCUGGGCUGUCCUCACUCAUGUCUAUAGCGCUGAAGAACUGAAGACUAUGGGUCUCAAGGAAGAAUUUGACUGGUCUGCACCUCCUCCGAAGAAAUUCAAGAGGGUCAAAAUUCCUCCACUGGUGGUCAGCUCUUAUUCUUCAUCGCGUGACACUGAUGAGUAUGAAGAUUUCGACGACACUACGGCAGGCCCUGCUACAACAAACAACCCUGACAACGCUGGCGCUCCUCCAUCGACUUGA